rnacentral:rRNA from 1 species
AUUGAACGCUGGCGGCAUGCUUUACACAUGCAAGUCGAACGGCAGCGCGGGCUUCGGCCUGGCGGCGAGUGGCGAACGGGUGAGUAAUGCAUCGGAACGUGCCCAGUAGUGGGGGAUAGCCCGGCGAAAGCCGGAUUAAUACCGCAUACGACCUGAGGGUGAAAGCGGGGGACCGAAAGGCCUCGCGCUAUUGGAGCGGCCGAUGUCGGAUUAGCUAGUUGGUGGGGUAAAGGCUUACCAAGGCGACGAUCCGUAGCUGGUCUGAGAGGUCGACCAGCCACACUGGGACUGAGACACGGCCCAGACUCCUACGGGAGGCAGCAGUGGGGAAUUUUGGACAAUGGGGGCAACCCUGAUCCAGCCAUGCCGCGUGCGAGAAGAAGGCCUUCGGGUUGUAAACCGCUUUUGUUCGGGAAGAAAUCCUCUGGGCUAAUACCCCGGGGGGAUGACGGUACCGGAAGAAUAAGCACCGGCUAACUACGUG